CCUCUCUGUGUGUCGGGAGUUUGUUUCUGUGUGUGCAAGAGGCUGGCCCUCUGUCGUCUCAGUGACUAGUCUGUGCGGGCGUUUCUUUGUGUGAUUUCUUUCUCCGUGCAUUCUCUGGUUCGGAACUAACUGUCCCACAUGGACGGGGACUUGUGGACAGAACGGGGUGCCCACAGAAUCCUCAGAUUCCAAGUGCUGGGUAGGACCUGACCCUUCCUGCUUCCACAGUGGGAGAUGCUUCAUAGACGGUUCCUAUUUAAUCAUCUCAACAGCUCUAGGAAGAAGGGAUUACCCCACUUCACCCAAGGAGACACUAAGUAUCUGGGAGGGUCAAGGACCUACCAGAGGUGCCACAGCCUCUGGUAGCCUCUGGUAGCCUCUGGCAGAGCUGGAAUGUGAAGCCAAAUCUGUGUGACUCUGAGUCCCGUGUGCUUCUCCUUCAACCACCUCCCUCUGUGCUCUCUCAG